CCGCAACUUCCCCACUGGUUCUGAUUGGAAGACUAAGGGAGAGGUCGCAGAAGCUCCCUGCCGAGCCCAGAGGCACAAAGAUAACAGAAUAUUAAACGAGGAAAGACUGGACACCGCAACUUCCCCACUGGUUCUGAUUGGAAGACUAAGGGAGAGGUCGCAGAAGAUCAAUACAACAAAGUUCUCUUCCCUGAACCUGGGCAAAGAGUUCAACGCAUUCUUCCCGAGGUCAUGAGGAGCUCAUCUAGCUGCUUUCUGGAAAGGCUGUGGCAAGAUUCAGCUCUCAUUCCAUCAGAUAUGCUGGCUGCUGUUGGUUUGGAGGAAGUUCUACACCGAGACUAGACUGAUGGAUGGAAUUUAAUCACUCCUAAAGAGGAAAGAAUCUAUGGUGCCACCUAGAGAACAGGAUUCUUGCUAUUCAAAGUGGUGGGGGGUGCCAGGGUUCACACCACGCCCUGGGUGCUCCCUGCCGAGCCCAGAGGCACAAAGAUAACAGAAUAUUAAACGAGGAAAGACUGGACACCGCAACUUCCCCACUGGUUCUGAUUGGAAGACUAAGGGAG
ensembl:lncRNA